GGAGGCGGUACUUCCUCCAGCAUUUGCCGCGAGUUAUUGGCAAGUUCCCCUGCAGUUGUUUGGGCUGUCGCUGUGGCUGGUUCUGCGGUGUGCGGCCAGCCAUGGAGCGCUCUGGGCCCAGCGAAGUGACAGGCUCAGACGCAUCGGGACCGGACCCGCAGCUUGUGGUCACCAUGGGCUUCACGGGGUUCGGGGUUCGGUAAAAAAGCUCACACAUUUGACUUGGAAGCAAUGUUUGAACAAACUCAAAGAACAGCUGUGGAAAGAAGUCACAAAACACUGGGCCACCAGGAACACACCUGUAGCCCAGCAAAGUUGAGGCCAUCGACUGGCUCAUCACAACAAGGAAGGCUGUGCACCACUGGGACCCAGCAGCAGCUCAGCAGCAGCAACCAGAUUACAGAGGGGUAUUGAUUUGCCUUGCCCCCGCCCCCACCAUCACAGUGUGUCCCUGUCCAGUGUUGGUGCUGUGUGGCAUUGCUUGUGUCCAUAGGAGUCCAUCAAGGCAGAGCGGCAGAGCGGCAAGCAGAGCGGCAAGGCAGGGCUGGUGAAUUACCAGAUCUCCAUCAAGUGCAGUAACCAGUUCAAGUUGGAAGUGUGUCUUUUGAAUGCAGAAAACAAAGUCGUGGACAACCAGGCUGGGACCCAGGGCCAGCUGAAGGUGCUGGGUGCCAACCUCUGGUGGCCGUACCUGAUGCACGAACACCCCGCCUACCUGUACUCGUGGGAGGAUGGUGAUUGCUCACACCAAAGCCUUGGACCCCUCCCAGCCUGUGACCUUUGUGACCAACGUCACCUAUGCAGCAGACAAGGGGGCUCUGUAUGUGGAUGUGAUCCGUGUGAACAGCUACUACUCUUGGUAUCGCAACUACGGGCACCUGGAGUUGAUUCAGCUGCAGCUGGCCACCCAGUUUGAGAAUUGGUGUAAGACAUCACAAUCCCAUUAUUCAGAGCGCGUAUGGAGUGGAAACGCUUGUAGGGUUUCACCAGGAUCCACCUCUGAUGUUCAGUGAAGAGUACCAGAAAAGU